rnacentral:rRNA from 1 species
AUUGAACGCUGGCGGCAGGCCUAACACAUGCGAGUCGAGCGGAUGAAGGGAGCUUGCUCCUGGAUUCAGCGGCGGACGGGUGAGUAAUGCCUAGGAAUCUGCCUGGUAGUGGGGGAUAACGUCCGGAAACGGGCGCUAAUACCGCAUACGUCCUGAGGGAGAAAGUGGGGGAUCUUCGGACCUCACGCUAUCAGAUGAGCCUAGGUCGGAUUAGCUAGUUGGUGGGGUAAAGGCCUACCAAGGCGACGAUCCGUAACUGGUCUGAGAGGAUGAUCAGUCACACUGGAACUGAGACACGGUCCAGACUCCUACGGGAGGCAGCAGUGGGGAAUAUUGGACAAUGGGCGAAAGCCUGAUCCAGCCAUGCCGCGUGUGUGAAGAAGGUCUUCGGAUUGUAAAGCACUUUAAGUUGGGAGGAAGGGCAGUAAGUUAAUACCUUGCUGUUUUGACGUUACCAACAGAAUAAGCACCGGCUAACUUUGUG